AAUAGAUACCCGGGUAGUCCACGCCGUAAACGAUGAGUGCUAAGUGUUAGAGGGUUUCCGCCCUUUAGUGCUGAAGUUAACGCAUUAAGCACUCCGCCUGGGGAGUAUGGCCGCAAGGCUGAAACUCAAAGGAAUUGACGGGGGCCCGCACAAGCGGUGGAGCAUGUGGUUUAAUUCGAAGCAACGCGAAGAACCUUACCAGGUCUUGACAUCCUCUGACAACCCUAGAGAUAGGGCUUCCCCUUCGGGGGCAGAGUGACAGGUGGUGCAUGGUUGUCGUCAGCUCGUGUCGUGAGAUGUUGGGUUAAGUCCCGCAACGAGCGCAACCCUUGAUCUUAGUUGCCAUCAUUCAGUUGGGCACUCUAAGGUGACUGCCGGUGACAAACCGGAGGAAGGUGGGGAUGACGUCAAAUCAUCAUGCCCCUUAUGACCUGGGCUACACACGUGCUACAAUGGACGGUACAAAGAGUCGCGAGACCGCGAGGUGGAGCUAAUCUCAUAAAACCGUUCUCAGUUCGGAUUGUAGG
rnacentral:rRNA from 1 species